AUACUUACCUGGCAGGGGAGAUACCAUGAGCACGAAGGUGGUUUUCCCAGGGUGAGGCUUAUCCAUUGCACUCCAGAUGUGCUGACUGCUGCAAUUUCCCCAAAUGUGGGAAACUCAACUGCAUAUUUUGUGGUAGUGGGGGACUGUGUUCACACACUCCCCUG
ensembl:snRNA U1 U1 spliceosomal RNA